rnacentral:rRNA from 1 species
AGUCGAGGGGUAUAUUUCUUCGGAAUAGAGACCGGCGCACGGGUGCGUAACGCGUAUGCAAUCUACCUUUUACAGAGGGAUAGCCCAGAGAAAUUUGGAUUAAUACCUCAUAGUAUUAUAGAUUGGCAUGAUUUUAUUAUUAAAGUCACAACGGUAAAAGAUGAGCAUGCGUCCCAUUAGCUAGUUGGUAAGGUAACGGCUUACCAAGGCUACGAUGGGUAGGGGUCCUGAGAGGGAGAUCCCCCACACUGGUACUGAGACACGGACCAGACUCCUACGGGAGGCAGCAGUGAGGAAUAUUGGACAAUGGGCGCAAGCCUGAUCCAGCCAUGCCGCGUGCAGGAUGACGGUCCUAUGGAUUGUAAACUGCUUUUAUACGAGAAGAAACACUCCGACGUGUCGGAGCUUGACGGUAUCGUAAGAAUAAGGAUCGGCUAACUCCGUGCCAGCAGCCGCGGUAAUACGGAGGAUCCAAGCGUUAUCCGGAAUCAUUGGGUUUAAAGGGUCCGUAGGCGGUUUAAUAAGUCAGUGGUGAAAGCCCAUCGCUCAACGGUGGAACGGCCAUUGAUACUGUUAGACUUGAAUUAUUAGGAAGUAACUAGAAUAUGUAGUGUAGCGGUGAAAUGCUUAGAGAUUACAUGGAAUACCAAUUGCGAAGGCAGGUUACUACUAAUGGAUUGACGCUGAUGG